rnacentral:misc_RNA from 1 species
CCAAAAGACGCUCGCUCUCGCGAGUCGAAAGCUCUCCGGGCUCGGUUGACGCCGGCCCGAAGUGCGAACCACCUGUGAACGGUAAACAAUCUUUCGCUUCCGCGGUCGGACCGGCUUUCUGGCCGGGUCGUAAUCCCGCGGGUGGCACCCAACCCGUCAAACUGUACGAACAAAACCAGUCUGAGACCGGUCUUCUGACCGAAAAAACGAAUGAAAUCA